GAAGAAAGAUGGGGGCGUGCCUAAUACAUGCAAGUAGAACGCUGAAGGAGUAGCUUUCUUCUCUGGAUGAGUUGCGAACGGGUGAGUAACGCGUAGGUAACCUGCCUUGGAGCGUGGGAUAACUAUUGGAAACUAUAGCUAAUACCGCAUAAUAGUAGAUGUUGCAUGGCAUUUGCUGAAAAGUUGCAAUUGCAUCAGUACCAGAUGGACCUGCGCUGUUUUAGCUAGGUGGUGGGGUAACGGCACACCAAGGCGAGGAUACAUACCCGACCUGAGAGGGGGGUUGGCCGGACUGGGAGGGAGACAGGGCACAGACGGCUAGAGGAGGAAGCAGUAGGGAAGCGUGGGCAAUGGACGGAAGUCUGAGCGAGAAACGCCGAGUGAGUGAAGAAGGUUUUCGGAUCGUAAAGCACUGUUGUAAGAGAAGAACGAGUGUGAGAGUGGAAAGUUCACACUGUGACGGUAUCUUACCAGAAAGGGACGGCUAACUACGUG
rnacentral:rRNA from 1 species